rnacentral:rRNA from 1 species
UACGGAGGGGGCUAGCGUUGUUCGGAAUUACUGGGCGUAAAGCGCACGUAGGCGGCUUUGCAAGUUAGAGGUGAAAGCCUGGAGCUCAACUCCAGAACUGCCUUUAAAACUGCAUCGCUUGAAUCCAGGAGAGGUGAGUGGAAUUCCGAGUGUAGAGGUGAAAUUCGUAGAUAUUCGCAAGAACACCAGUGGCGAAGGCGGCUCACUGGCCCGAUACUGACGCUGAGGCACGAAAGCGUGGGGAGCAAACAGG